GUUUUACAGCCAGGGCUGAGCUUAGAGCUCACCACAGUCCCAAAGCAGAAACCCUGCUGUUGAGCUGGGAAGCAACUCUGUACAAAGAAGCUGAAUGUACACAGUGCCAAACAUCACCUGAAAACUUUAUUGCUGCUGUCAGCAACUUCUCUACUAGUUCAGUUUGAGAGAGCACAAACAGAGGCAUCUUUCACAGAAUGAACAAGCAGAGCAAAACUACUACCUGGCUGGAGGAGAGAAAUCCUUAUUUACCUGGUUUAGCUUAAAUUCAGCAGAUCUCUGUUUCCAAAUGGCAGUGCAUUGCACUUACUGCUCAAGCUAAGGAAAAAAGUAACAUCCCACUCUAUGGUUGGCAAAAUUGCAGCAAGGACCCCAUUGAAAACUGGUGGCUUACAUCUCAUAUAACCUGAAAUAAAGGAGUCACUCACACAUUCAUAAUCAAUACAAUUACUUCUACUUUACAUGAAUUAAGUAAUUUGUAUGGCAUUACUGUUUGGGGCAUUUGUAUCCCUAUUCAGAGCACUUCUUCAGUAUUUCAGUCCCACUGAUGGUAAAGGCAGGUGCAUGCCAGUUACCCACAAAACCAAGGCAAAGCUCUAUGGGGAAAGUCUUUUAUGUCCAUCUAGAUUUGAAUUUGUAGUCCCUUUCCA